CUCGUAGGCGGCUCGGUAGGUCGGGUGUGAAACCUCCAGGCUCAACCUGGAGACGCCACCCGAUACUGCCGUGGCUAGAGUCCGGUAGAGGAGCGUAGAAUUCCUGGUGUAGCGGUGAAAUGCGCAGAUAUCAGGAGGAAUACCAGCGGCGAAGGCGGCGCUCUGGGCCGGUACUGACGCUGAGGAGCGAAAGCGUGGGGAGCAAACA
rnacentral:rRNA from 1 species